rnacentral:lncRNA from 1 species
UGUCUGCCAGGUUCAGUGAUCAACUCUGUGACAGGGUAAGAUCAAGUUUGGCAGCCCUUUUGUGCUCUUCACAGACCACCAUACAGAUGUGGUCACAGGCAUUGAGUCACCUCCUAGAAAGGUGUCUGUGGGCAUGCUCCCCCUCUUGGGCUGACUUCAGCAGGAGCUUGACCAUCAGCCUAGCUCAGAGGCCCUGGGGUUCUAUCCCUUAACCACAUGUGAACUUGUUCUUCGUGUCAUUGGACUGAUGAGAUGAAAUUUGACACCUUCUUGUGCAUACCCAAUACCACUCAACUGAUGAGAGGUACAGGGACAGAGGGAGGCAAUGCCAGGGCACAGGAGUGCCUGGCUUCAGGGCCUCUCCUCCUGUGGUUCACAUCCAGUGUGCAGCCUUGUCAAGCUGUGGGGUUGGGAAGUGAGCAACAGAGUCUUGGAUUCCCUAUCAACCAAGAGAGAGGUAAGGGGGGUGUGCUUUUUAAUGUGUACUCUAUAAUCUGUGAGUCCCCAAGUAGUUACUCUCUCUCCAUAGUCUCCAGGAGUAUGAGAAAACUGCCACAAGAACAUUGAAGACAGCAUCAAGAGCGAGAUCCAUGGGCUAGGGAUGUGGCUCAAGUAGUAAUGCACUCGCCUGGCAUGCGUGGGUUCCUGGGUUCGAUCCUCAGCACCACAUAAAAAUAAAACAAACAUGCUGUGUCCACUGAAAAC